rnacentral:rRNA from 1 species
UGGGGAAUAUUGCACAAUGGGCGCAAGCCUGAUGCAGCAACGCCGCGUGGGGGAUGAAGGCCUUCGGGUUGUAAACCCUUUCAGCAGGGAAGCGGUACCUGCAGAAGAAGCGUCGGCUAACUACGUGCCAGCAGCCGCGGUAAUACGUAGGACGCAAGCGUUGUCCGGAAUUAUUGGGCGUAAAGAGCUCGUAGGCGGUUCGUCACGUCUGCUGUGAAAACCCGAGGCUCAACCUCGGGCCUGCAGUGGGUACGGGCGGACUAGAGUGUGGUAGGGGAGACUGGAAUUCCUGGUGUAGCGGUGGAAUGCGCAGAUAUCAGGAGGAACACCAAUGGCGAAGGCAGGUCUCUGGGCCACAACUGACGCUGAGGAGCGAAAGGUGGGGAGCGAAC